UACGUAGGGGGCAAGCGUUGUCCGGAUUUAUUGGGCGUAAAGCGCGCGUAGGCGGCUUUGUAAGUUAGAGGUGAAAGCCCGGGGCUCAACCCCGGAACUGCCUUUAAAACUGCAUCGCUUGAAUCCGGGAGAGGUGAGUGGAAUUCCGAGUGUAGAGGUGAAAUUCGUAGAUAUUCGGAAGAACACCAGUGGCGAAGGCGGCUCACUGGACCGGCAUUGACGCUGAGGUGCGAAAGCGUGGGGAGCAAACAGG
rnacentral:rRNA from 1 species